CAGUAGCUCUUGGGGAGUGAGGAGAGAUAAAGUGAAGAUAUUUAAAACCUAAGCGGUAGCCUUAGAAGCUGAUGAGGAAACAAAAAAGAGGAGACCAGGAAGGAAACUAAGAAAUGUUUUAAGGAGAAGGGAGUAGACAUCUGUCAAGAGCUACUGAUGGGCCAGCUUACAGUCUACACAAAAGGAUGUGGUAAUGCACUGAAGCAAGAGAUUCAAAUGAACAACAAUUCCAGCUUCUUUUAGAAGAAGAGAAAGAUGCUGUCAGCACCAGCCAGGACAGGUGUCGCCCAACCCAUUCUGGAAACUGGGUGGGCAGCCUGCUGUUAGGCCACCCACCAUUUCCCUCUGAAGCCCACACUGCUCGUCCUGGACUGAGCCAAAGACAAAACAUGCCAUCUGAGGUGAGAGAUGAAGAAAAUGAGAGCAAUGCAAUCAAAUCUUAGUGAGACACAGCCAGGUAUCUUCAUCUCACCGAGAUGACAGUACAGUGCAGCAGAGCCUAUGAGAAGCAGGACCACGCCAGACGUGACUGGUCUGUUCCACUGGUUGGCACAGCAGGCUUUGUCACGGACCGCAGUGAAUGUUGGGACAUUGCCCCAUGUGCACUUUACAGCAUCUUCAUUCCUGAUGGGGCCUGGUAAUCUGUGAGAAAUGAACUUCAAUUGCUUUUUCUGCGAGUGCUGAAAACUUACUUUUACAUCACUGGAGGGCCCUGGCAAAGCACAUGUCAAGGACCUGCAGGUCAGAGGGACUGAAAUAGCAGCUGUGAAAUGAACACUUGAUACUGUAUAUAAAUUGAAUGAUCAGCUGGGUGAUUUUAGAACUACCUGGGUGGAAUUUAUGUGUCUUCUGGAUGAGAUGAUGGUUCUAGGCCAGUGGGAGUACCUCUGACACACAGUACAGUAAUCAGUGAGACGGGGGAGUAGGGCUGGGCGGGAAGAGGUGGGUGAGUGGCUUGACCUUGACCUUGUUCUUUUCCACCCCUCUCUUCUGACUGGUCUUUUCUCAGGGAAUGCUGAAACAGACGGAGCAGGUGCCUCCUUGCGGUGUGUGAGCUCGGGAGAUGGCUCAGCAUUUGCUUUCUGUGAUGGUCAAGUGCUUCUUGACAUCCAGGGCCCUGACAGUCUGGGAGAUUCGGAGUGAGUUUGCCAAUUCGCAGCUUUUACUUGGAAAAGCAAAUCAUGACCGAGGACCAUCAAGAAAAGAAUUCCCAAUAUUCACAUGCUCAGCUCUGAUCUUCUCAUUUAUAUCCUGCGUUUUCAGACACAGAGAGCAAGAUUAAAAAAAACAGUGCCAACAGACAUUGGAGACACAAGGC